UUUUUUUUUUUUUUUUUUUUUUUUUUUUUUUUUUUUUUUUUC
rnacentral:ribozyme from 1 species